rnacentral:rRNA from 1 species
GACGAACGCUGGCGGCGUGCUUAACACAUGCAAGUCGAACGGAAAGGCCCUGCUUUUGUGGGGUGCUCGAGUGGCGAACGGGUGAGUAACACGUGAGUAAACUGCCCUUGACUUUGGGAUAACUUCAGGAAACUGGGGCUAAUACCGGAUAGGAGCUCCUGCUGCAUGGUGGGGGUUGGAAAGUUUCGGCGGUUGGGGAUGGACUCGAGGCUUAUCAGCUUGUUGGUGGGGUAGUGGCUUACCAAGGCUUUGAAGGGUAGCCGGCCUUAGAGGGUGACCGGCCACAUUGGGACUGAGAUACGGCCCAGACUCCUACGGGCGGCAGCAGUGGGGAAUAUUGCACAAUGGGCGGAAGCCUGUUGCAGCAACGCCGCGUGCGGGAUGCCGUCCUUCGGGUUGUAAACCGCUUUCGCCUGUGACGAAGCGUGAGUGACGGUAAUUGGUAAAGAAGCACCGGCUAACUACGUG